UAGGGAAUCUUCCACAAUGGGCGCAAGCCUGAUGGAGCAACACCGCGUGAGUGAAGAAGGGUUUCGGCUCGUAAAGCUCUGUUGUUAAAGAAGAACGUGGGUAAGAGUAACUGUUUACCCAGUGACGGUAUUUAACCAGAAAGCCACGGCUAAAUACGNGCCAG
rnacentral:rRNA from 1 species